UUUGUUUUAUAAAUUUACCUUGGCUUUAAUUUUAUGUAAUCAUUUGGAAAAUACAAAUAACUGAAAAAAUCCCAAAAUUUUCCACAGUGAAUUUUUAAAUUAUCUUUUUUCAUUUCCUUAAACUUAAACAUUGAUUGUUACUUAAAUUUUCCAUUUGGAAUCAUGGAUUUAAAAUUUCUGUAGUUCAUGGGAAAAAAUUAACCCAGAAAUUCAAAGCCUUCAAACAUUCAUCUGGUUUUGGCCUACAAUAUCCUCACAAGCUUUCUCUUGGCCUAUAGGAGGAGCCACAUACCAAGGAUGUUCUGUUCCUUCCCAUUGUCGUUUUGUGGCAAGCCUUGAGUUAACGGUACCUCUACCGAGAGCAAAUAUGCUUGGUGUCCCCAAAGUCCUAGCAGUACCAUGCCUGUACUGAUCUGUAGACUUUGAUUUCUGUGUCCAGCCAGCGCAGUGUAGUGACACUGACUGAAGCCUUUGUUCUAGAUCUGUCAUCCUAUUCAAGGAUGGUUUGCAUUUUGUAAAAUUACCCUGCACCUGGAGCUGCAUGCCUUAAGCCUGAAACCUGGGCCGUGCUCGCAGUGGACAGUCUCUGUUCCCCACGCAGGAAGCGGGGUCCACAGCGCUUCUCUGACUACCUUUGGAAGGACUGUACAAUGUUAGAAUAAUUUAUUUUGCUUUACAGGAGUUUGUCAUGCAUUGACUUUAAUAUUGUAUUUUGGUAAUAAAUUUUUUGUUAAAAACACUUGCCUCUAAGUUUUAUUAACAAGGUUAAAUCCAUUCUUAUCUUGGAAAUGUUGAUUUGAUCGCUUAGAAAGUUGGGUUUAAAUAAUGAAGAACUUCCCAAAGGUUAAACUAAGGCUUAUCAUUACCCUUUGGUAGCGUGUUUUAAACUAUUGCUGACGAGCAUUAAACUGUGUUACACAAAGAUGAAAAGGCAUUUACAUUGUUUCCAUGGUUUUAAAAAUUCAGUCUAAUUUUAAAGCUUCUUUCCUUGCUAUACAGUUCAUUUUAUCUUCUGAAUCACAUCUUUAUGUGCUUUAAAUUCUGAUAUAGUCAAAGUGCUAAAAACUAGCUCUGUUAAUGACCAUUAGCAGUCUUUAUUGAAGACCAAAGAUUACAAUAAUGUGUUCACAGCUUGAUCAUUUUGGGGUCUAUAUCAAAUAUUUUUCACACUAGGUUGUCGCAUUGGCAAGUAAAGCUAACGUCAUCUGACUAUCAUUGCUCUGGUUAUCCAUUUAUGCCCUAGAAUCCUGGGCCGCCUCAGCUUAAAGUGAGGCCAGAUAUUUCUUCCUAAUAGCUGUAAUUCCUUGUCCUAACUCCCCAGGGGCAACAUAAUUAUAUCCCCAUUUCAAGAACCAAAUCCCAACAGUGUGUCACUGAAGUCCAGGUUGCUUGUAGAAAUCCCAGCAUGGAAGAUCCAGAACAUAUGGUGCCGUUCGGUAGCCACGAGCUGCCUGUGGCUACUGAGCGCUUGAAGUGUGACUAGUAUCCAGUCAAUGUCCAAUACACAACAGUUUCGAAGACUUAAUACAAAAACAAAUGUAAAUUAGCUCAUAAUAGUUUUUUAUAUUGAU
rnacentral:lncRNA from 1 species